rnacentral:rRNA from 1 species
AGUGAACGCUGGCGGUAGGCCUAACACAUGCAAGUCGAACGGCAGCACAGUAAGAGCUUGCUCUUACGGGUGGCGAGUGGCGGACGGGUGAGGAAUACAUCGGAAUCUACUUUUUCGUGGGGGAUAACGUAGGGAAACUUACGCUAAUACCGCAUACGACCUACGGGUGAAAGCAGGGGAUCUUCGGACCUUGCGCGAUUGAAUGAGCCGAUGUCGGAUUAGCUAGUUGGCGGGGUAAAGGCCCACCAAGGCGACGAUCCGUAGCUGGUCUGAGAGGAUGAUCAGCCACACUGGAACUGAGACACGGUCCAGACUCCUACGGGAGGCAGCAGUGGGGAAUAUUGGACAAUGGGCGCAAGCCUGAUCCAGCCAUACCGCGUGGGUGAAGAAGGCCUUCGGGUUGUAAAGCCCUUUUGUUGGGAAAGAAAAGCAGGAGGUUAAUACCCCGCUGUUCUGACGGUACCCAAAGAGUAAGCACCGGCUAACUUCGU